UAAUCUUUCCCUUCUUCCCUUCCGCAGAUGAAACGACUAAGGUGUGGGGGCCGAGUCAUGCGCUGUUUGGGGCAGAACCCAGACUAAGGCUCAAGGGAUAAAAGGAAGAGGAACAGGCGCAGGGCACCCUGGGAAGAAAGGGUGUCUACAGAAGGUGGCAUCCGGACCUCAGAAGAUGAGAUGGGCAGAAGGCACUCAUUCACAAGGCUUGCCAGGCAUCCCCAUGUCCCCAGUUGGCCUCUAACUUUGGAGAGGACUCCCAGCUGAGCCAUUCACAUGCUAGGAUUGCAG